rnacentral:rRNA from 1 species
UAAUGUCGUGGGAACUGCCUGAUGGAGGGGGAUAACUACUGGAAACGGUAGCUAAUACCGCAUAACGUCGCAAGACCAAAGAGGGGGACCUUCGGGCCUCUUGCCAUCGGAUGUGCCCAGAUGGGAUUAGCUUGUUGGUGGGGUAACGGCUCACCAAGGCGACGAUCCCUAGCUGGUCUGAGAGGAUGACCAGCCACACUGGAACUGAGACACGGUCCAGACUCCUACGGGAGGCAGCAUG